rnacentral:rRNA from 1 species
UACGUAGGGUGCAAGCGUUGUCCGGAAUUAUUGGGCGUAAAGAGCUCGUAGGCGGUCUGUCGCGUCGGAAGUGAAAACCCGGGGCUCAACCCCGGGCCUGCUUUCGAUACGGGCAGACUAGAGUUCGGCAGGGGGAGACUGGAAUUCCUGGUGUAGCGGUGAAAUGCGCAGAUAUCAGGAGGAACACCGGUGGCGAAGGCGGGUCUCUGGGCCGAUACUGACGCUGAGGAGCGAAAGCGUGGGGAGCGAACAGG